AAUCAACGCUGGCGGCGUGCCUAACACAUGCAAGUCGAACGCGAGAGGGGCUUCGGCCCCGAUUGAGUGGCGAACGGGUGAGUAACGCGUGGGUGACCUACCUUCGAGUGGGGAUAACGUCCCGAAAGGGACGCUAAUACCGCAUAACAUCCUGCUUUUGAAUGGGUGGAGAUCAAAGCCGGGGAUCGCAAGACCUGGCGCUUGAUGAGGGGCCCGCGUCUGACUAGCUAGUUGGGAGGUAACGGCCCACCAAGGCAACGAUCAGUAUCCGGCCUGAGAGGGUGUUCGGCCACACUGGGACUGAGACACGGCCCAGACUCCUACGGGAGCAGCAGUGGGGAAUUGUUCGCAAUGGGCGCAAGCCUGACGACGCAACGCCGCGUGGAGGAUGAAGGUCUUCGGAUUGUAAACUCCUGUUGCCCGGGACGAAUGGCUCCGACCUAACACGUC
rnacentral:rRNA from 1 species